AGGUGUCAGGUAUUUGAAGAAAGUGACUAAGAAAAGGGUCAAUUUUGCCCAUUGCCCAGUGAAGCUGAGUGAAAACACACACCAAGAUAAUACCUCUGAAUAUCCCUUCUCUACUCUGGUCACACGCCAUUCAGGCCAGUUCAUGGAGACAAAAUCACUAGCUGCCGAGGGAAAUGGACAGGUGGAGAGUACUGUAUAAAGUUUCUUUUGGAGUGAUGAAAAUGUUUUGGGAUUUCAACCGAAACGGUCAAUGAUUGUGCAAAACUGUAAAUGUACUAAAUGCCACUGAAUGCCACAUUUUGAAGUGAUU